rnacentral:rRNA from 1 species
AUGGCGUUCGACGAAGCGCUCGGGCGGCUGCGUGCGUUCGACGAGCGGGUUCGGCGCCGUGGACAAGACGGCGGCGAGCGCGGGGUUGAGCAGCUGCUCAUGACGGCGGCGCAGUGGGCAGCACGGGAGCGUCGACACGGCGGCGCUCGGGACGAUGACGACGGGCGCAGCGUGGCGUCGGGAAGUGGCGGCAAUAGGUGCAGGCGCUGCGACAAGUGCGGGGAGCACGGGCACUUCCGGCGAGAGUGCCCGCAGCUGCGGAAAGGACCGGCGACGGAGCAGGCUCUCUUGGCUAGCGCCAACGUCGACGACGACGGACUCCUCUAG